rnacentral:tRNA from 1 species
GCCUGGCUGGCUCAGUUGGUAGAGCAUGCAACUCUUGAUCUUGGAGUCGUGAGUUCAAGUCCUACGUUGGGUG